rnacentral:rRNA from 1 species
AACGAACGCUGGCGGCAUGCCUAACACAUGCAAGUCGAACGAGACCUUCGGGUCUAGUGGCGCACGGGUUCGUAACGCGUGGGAACCUGCCCUUAGGGUCGGAAUAACUCCCCGAAAGGGGUGCUAAUACCGGAUAAUGUCUUCGGACCAAAGAUUUAUCGCCUUUGGAUGGGCCCGCGUUGGAUUAGCUAGUUGGGAGGGUAAAGGCUUACCAAGGCGACGAUCCAUAGCUGGUCUGAGAGGAUGAUCAGCCACACUGGGACUGAGACACGGCUCAGACUCCUACGGGAGGCAGCAGUGGGGAAUAUUGGACAAUGGGCGAAAGCCUGAUCCAGCAAUGCCGCGUGAGUGAUGAAGGCCUUAGGGUUGUAAAGCUCUUUUACCCGGGAUGAUAAUGACAGUACCGGGAGAAUAAGCUCCGGCUAACUCCGUG